UACGUAGGGGGCAAGCGUUGUCCGGAUUUAUUGGGCGUAAAGAGCUCGUAGGUGGUUCGGUAAGUCGGAUGUGAAAUCUCCAGGCUCAACCUGGAGGGGUCAUUCGAUACUGCCGUGACUAGAGGUCGGUAGGGGAGUGUGGAAUUCCUGGUGGAGCGGUGAAAUGCGCAGAUGUCAGGAGGAACACCGGUGGCGAAGGCGGGUCUCUGGGCCGACAUUGACGCUGAGGAGCGAAAGCGUGGGGAGCGAACAGG
rnacentral:rRNA from 1 species